ensembl:lncRNA novel transcript
GUUCUAGCAUCUGGCCGGGGCGGCAGCCUGAGAGCCAUGGAGCCGCUGGGUGCAACACUGUCCUGCCCGUGUGCAUGGAGCUGCUUACGUUGCCUGCACUGCUGCUGUCCUGUUCCCACAACUUCUGCAAACAGUGCCUGGAGCUGAUCUUGGUUUACCAGAAUUGCACCCAGGUCCAGGGAUGGUUCUGUUGUCCAGUGUGUAGGAAAGACAUUUAUUUGAAGGGCAGGGGAACAAAUGGAUUGCAGGGAAACAUCCUGGCUGAAAAUAUCCUGGAAAAGCUUAAGGAAGUACUUGAGACACUUCACACCGGGGAGCAAAACCAGCUCGCUCAGAUGUGUGAAAAGCGUGGAAAAAUCAUGAAUCUGUUGUGCCUAAGUGAUGAAAAGCCAAUAUGCAGGAUAUUCAAGCUCUCUGGGGACCACAGUUCUCACCAGGUAGCCAAGAUUGCUGAUGUGUACACAGAAAGGAAAGCUAGCUUUGCUGAGGACAUUCAGCAGGUGCUGCAGAGAUCUGAGAGCACAGCCCAGGAAACGGAGGACACAGAGAGGCUCAUCAGACCUGUCCACCAGCACCACCAGCACAAGGACCAUGAUCAAAACCAUCGGAAACUGCCUGAUCAGCGGCAUCCACAGCCGCAGCCACAUGGUUACCUCAAAGCAGGAGCUGGAGCAUGCCUCCGAGUUGGAGAGGCUGCAGUGGGUGGCCUGGGACCUCACAGUCCCCCGCCAGCUCUGCCACCAGAUGCUGAGGCUCCUGCAGCAGCACCAGAAUGCGAUAUAGUUUCUGCGAGAAAGGACAAAAAGUUCAGGACGGAGAUGAAGAGGCUCAUGCACGAUGGCAUGGUCCCCCAGGUCCCUGAAAAGGACAACAUGUCUAUCAGGCACUAAUUUCAAGAGCUCAUUAAAGGAAUAGAUAUUGCUGACUUGGUCCUGCCUGAGUUAGCCCAGGCGCUGGCCACCGUGGCCAGGCUGCCCGAGGCCUGCAGGAUGGGCAGGGCCACGCAGAGCGAACUGUUGGAACAAACGCUCCAGGAGAUUUUAUGCAAGUCAGAGUUGGGCUUGCUGCCAAAACCGAACAAAGAGGCAAAGCUUCCUGGG